CGGACGGGUGAGUAAUGCCUGGGAAUAUGCCUUGAUGUGGGGGAUAACCAUUGGAAACGAUGGCUAAUACCGCAUAAUGCCUUCGGGCCAAAGAGGGGGACCUUCGGGCCUCUCGCGUCAAGAUUAGCCCAGGUGGGAUUAGCUAGUUGGUGAGGUAAUGGCUCACCAAGGCGACGAUCCCUAGCUGGUCUGAGAGGAUGAUCAGCCACACUGGAACUGAGACACGGUCCAGACUCCUACGGGAGGCAGCAGUGGGGAAUAUUGCACAAUGGGCGCAAGCCUGAUGCAGCCAUGCCGCGUGUGUGAAGAAGGCCUUCGGGUUGUAAAGCACUUUCAGUCGUGAGGAAGGUGGUGUAGUUAAUAGCUGCAUCAUUUGACGUUAGCGACAGAAGAAGCACCGGCUAACUCCGUGCCAGCAGCCGCGGUAAUACGGAGGGUGCGAGCGUUAAUCGGAAUUACUGGGCGUAAAGCGCAUGCAGGUGGUUCGUUAAGUCAGAUGUGAAAGCCCGGGGCUCAACCUCGGAACUGCAUUUGAAACUGGCGGACUAGAGUACUGUAGAGGGGGGUAGAAUUUCAGGUGUAGCGGUGAAAUGCGUAGAGAUCUGAAGGAAUACCAGUGGCGAAGGCGGCCCCCUGGACAGAUACUGACACUCAGAUGCGAAAGCGUGGGGAGCAAACAGGAUUAGAUACCCUGGUAGUCCACGCCGUAAACGAUGUCUACUUGGAGGUUGUGGCCUUGAGCCGUGGCUUUCGGAGCUAACGCGUUAAGUAGACCGCCUGGGGAGUACGGUCGCAAGAUUAAAACUCAAAUGAAUUGACGGGGGCCCGCACAAGCGGUGGAGCAUGUGGUUUAAUUCGAUGCAACGCGAAGAACCUUACCUACUCUUGACAUCCAGAGAACUUAGCAGAGAUGCUUUGGUGCCUUCGGGACUCUGAGACAGUGCUGCAUGGCUGUCGUCAGCUC
rnacentral:rRNA from 1 species